UUCUUUCUUAGCUCACUUUCCAUCAUUCCUGCUGCUUUUCUUCCUCAUAGCUCACAGUUUGUCAUCAGUGACCCAAAACUCUUCUGAUUUCUUCAGAUUUGCCAUCUCUGCAGAUCAGAUUUGCUGCAAGUGGCUACCACAUUUCUACAUCAAGAUUGUUGAAAGGGGAAGAGAAAAAAUCUUCACAAACUGAUGGAGAGGAAAAGACAGUCAGUACAGCGAUGUGGAAGGCAAGGAGGGUGUUCAUAACAUCAUGUUCGCAGAUGACACCGCCCUCAAACAUGUAUCA